rnacentral:tRNA from 1 species
GGGGAUUUGGCUCAGUGGUAGAGCGCUUGCCUAGCAUGCACAAGGCCCUGGGUUCGGUCCCCAGCUCCG